CUCCCGAUCCGGAGGAGCAGCUCCUCCCACGCCCGAGCCCGCUGAACCCAGCCUAGCACCCGCGCCCACCGCCCCUGUGCAGGUCCGCCUCGUCGAAGAUCCACAUCGCGUCGCUGCCCGUUCAGGAUCCAACCUCAACGCCUCCUGGCUAGGCUUGAGGAACGCAUGCCGGGAGAGCCUCCGCCGCGCCGGUGGUAGCGGCGGCGAGGCCGACGCGCCAACGACCAUUGUUCAAGGGGCCAUGCAGGAUGUGCUUCCGCAUCACCCUCUCCUCCACUCCGACGGUGGCCUCGGACAGGGCAGGAAUUGGAUAACACGUCCACCACCUGAUCGAGCACAACCGCAACAGAGGAGGGCCACCUCUGCCUCGUCGUGCAGGAGAUGCUUCACUAGGGCUGAAGUCAUUGUCUGGUUCUUCUUCCUUCUAUGAUUCCAUUUUGAUUUUUUGCCGGUAGUUCAUGAUGUCGUUUCUCCACAAUCCUUACCGUGCUUGUGUAGAAGAACAGAUCCAAUUUUUCGAGAGAAACAUGCUUUGUUGAUCUGUUGCUGCUGCUCACGCAGGUGUCGGAGCAGGUGCUUCGUGACGGCUGGGUUUGUCUAUAGGUAUGUCCUUUUUGUGUUGAAUUUGAGCACAACUAGUCUGGUUUGUUUUAGCCUCAUUUGUUUUAGUACACGACCCGUUCCUUUGUCCAGAAUCUGGGUGGAAAGGACGUUCUUUCUCCAUCAUAUGGGCUGGUCCCAAAGAAUGCAAGUUUUGGAAGAUGAAACUGCUCAUUAAAGGCAGGACCAUUAGGGCCAUCCUCAAUAGGAAACAAAGGAAAGGUUUCCAGUGGGUUUCUCAGAUGAUCUUCUUCGCUCAUAGUCUUGGUCGAAUGUCAUCAGGUGUAGGCACACCUUCCUCAAUAGGCUUGAGAGGAGCACGAGGCUUCCUUGAUUUCUCUUAUACUGAUUGCUUUGGGGCACUUGUCUGACUAUCAUUUUUGCUGCCGGAACUCCUUCAGUGGGUUUCUAACUUUCGGGCACUAGGGCCCUUUCUUUCAGUGUAUUUCCUUCCGUUGGAGGCACAACGACCUCUUUCUCAGAUGCUCAGGGCACAACUGGUGGAGCAAUAACUUCUUGAGCCAUCGGCUCAACAGAUUUCUUUUCUUCCUCUUCCAAUCAUGGUGCAAUGGAACGAGGAGCAGGAUCAAUAUCCAUCUGGGCAGGGGCAUCAGAUGAUGUGACCUGGGUGGUUUUGUCUCUGGAAGCAUUUAACUCCCCCUCAUUCUUGUCAGUCUCCUCCUUAUUUGAGUCGGAGGGCUCAGCUUGCAUUUUUCUCGGAGGCGAUGGAUCUGCCUUCUCAACUUCAAUUUCCUCAUCAACAUCAUCAACAUGUGCUUGCUGCUCAGGCGAGGCAUUUCCUUCAUUAGUUUUUUCCAGGAAGAUAUCAACAACAUCAGGUUGUUCUUGAGCUGCUGGAGUAGGAAUGAUAACCUCCACAUGGUCAGCUUGCUGCAUUGGUUCAUCUUCAUGAGGUGGAGAUGGUGGAACCUGAUGUAAGGGAGUGAUGGAAUCAAGUGGAGCAUCAGCAGCAACAGUCUGAAGGCAGCGAUCUUUGUUUACUUUCGGAUAGCUAGCUCUCGGUUUAGCCUUCUGACGUUUUUCUUCUUUGAUUCUUCUGCGAGCAAGAUCCGCCUUGCGGUCAAUUUCCUCGUUUCUCCUGUCACACAACUGAGAUAACUUCAUGUGCAGCCACGAAUGCCAAUUAAUUUUAUUAUUCCGCAUGAGUCUGAGAGCCUUGGUGAUUUCAACAAUCUCUUUGUUCAGAUUAUUUCUUUCGAAUUCAGUGUUGGACUCUCUCCUCAUUUGCUUGAGAACUUGCUUGUCUUUGAUAGCUUGAUUCAGCUUCUUGGAGAUUUUCCUCAGCUCAAUGAAAUGUUUCGUUACCAUUUUGGUAACAUCGUCAGGUAAUCCCAGACGGCUGAGAUCAUCAGAUUUUGCAUCAUAUGCAGCACUGUCAAUAACAUCGAUCAUGAACUUGAAGUCAUUUGCUGUUCCUCUAUGGAAGCAGGAACACUAGGUUUGGCCUUCUUAGCAGAAGCAUCAGCUUUUCGUUCAGACUGCAGCUUUCUCUUCACUGCGGGUUUAGACAAGGAUCUUGGUGAUCUCCUUGGAGAGCGCAAAACUUUCACUAGUGAGGGGCUCUUAGACGGCUUGUUGAGAAUGGCAUGUUGAUCAUACAUGGGAAUUUCAUCAGCAGCAUCUUCGCUGGAUGACUCAUCAGACAAGUCAGAAACAACUUUCUUGGAUUUCUUGACAGUGGUUUUCUUUCGGGGAGCACGAGGGGAAACAUAUUUCGUGGACUUGCUUCCUUUGGAGGCAUAAGCAUGAUCUUUCUUCAUCUGGACGUCUUGCUGAGUUAGCGCAACGUUUUCAGCUUCGACUUGGUUUUUCUUCGCUUCCCUAGCAUCAUGCUUAGCUUUGGCUUUCGUCCUCUUAGCCACUUCCUCGGGAAAAUCAACGAUGAUUUUGAGGGAGUAGGGAUGAGAAUUUUGAGGCUAUGGUAGUCUGACUUUUUCGUCAUCGGGGCAAAAACAGCUUUCAGCAAUGCAGUCAUUCCACGGUGGUGUGAAGGCAAACAGAAUCUGAUACUUCUUGCAAACAUUUUCAUAGUUGUACCAUUUCUUUGCCCAGUGGCGGUGAAUCCUUUGAAGCCUGUUGUUGCGUUCAGUUGCUGAUUCACCAGGUGGAUUUCUGUAACUUUCUGGAUCAGACAUUUUAGAAGUGGUAUUCUUCUCUCUGCCACGAGCACCCUUUUUGGGAUUUCCAUCAGAGAAGAGGGUUAGGGUGUCUGUGACCAAUUCAUCCUCGGGCUGACUGUGAGCAGAGGGAGUUACUUGAUGUGAAGUGGAACUCCGUACGACCGAUCUUUCACGAAAGGAGCGGAUCCCGACUAAGGACACGAUGAACACUGGGAAGAACGGAGAGAAAACACAAGGGGAAACACUCAAGAACAAGUCCAAUCACACAUCCACUAGACAAUCAAACACACAAGAUCCACAAGGUACAUGAAUAACAAAGGGAAAGAUACAAGGUAAGGUUCAUCUCCAUGAGGAGGUCUUGAAGGGGGCCGCCCAAGAGGGGGUCUUGAUGAUAUAUCCCGCAGGAUCUUCUCCUAGAUGGAGGUCUUGGCCUCCAUAAGGAGUAGUAGUCUCUCUCUCUCUCAAGAGUAGAGUGGUACAAGGAGCAAAGCUCUCUAUCAAAUGAGCUAUCACUUUGCUAACCCUAGAAAGGAGGGGGGAAAAGUCUAUUUAUAGUCUAAGCCACGAAGGGGUAAGUGGGAGAGAGAUACAAGGCCAAAGGCCCGGCUACGCACAGGCAGGGUCGGACGUUCGGUCGCUCGCGGGGGUCUGGUCGUCCGGAGGGCGUCGGACUUCCGCUAAUAUCGUUCUGUCGCCGUGGCACCGGUCGUCCGGUCGGUGUCGUUCGUCCGUGCGCUGGGACUUGUCGGACGUCCGGCGUUCGUCGGUCGUCCGACCGCUAUAGCUUUCGUCGGUUGGACUUCUGGGCUGGCUGGAGCUCCAGGCGUCGGACGUCCGGCGUUGUCCGGUCGUCCGGUGGCUGUAGAUCGUCGGACGUCCGAUGGCUCGUCGGUCGUCCGGCCGCUGGGGACUCCGCAGCUCCGUCUUCUUCCGUCUUCGCUUCCACGCUUCCCUCACGGAUGGUGUAGUUGUUCCUUGGCGCUUGCACUCCUCCUCGUCAUCCGUGAAGCUCCGACGAUACCUAUGCAUGCACACGGGUGGAGUGUCAAGUAGUAUACCAUCCUCGAAGGGGUUAAGUGAACACGUGUAAAGGUGAAGAUUCACCUUUAUGUAUGAGAAGUAGCGGUCGCACGUGUCACUUGCCAAAUGGACUCUUGACAUGGUGAUGUCCAUAGGAUGCUCCGCAUCAUCUCCCCUCCCUUGGGAAAGAUCCGACCUCAGAUCGAAAACCAAAUCACCAUGGGAAAGAGAUGGCUUCGCCGUGUAGGAGUGGACGUUCACCAAGUACUUGUCAUCUAGAAACUCGAAGUGGGCACUCUCCAAUGUCGCACCGUCUAGUGAUUCCUUCAAAAGGAGCAAGAACAACAAACACUUGGAAAAACAAAUGUGGUUAGCGUUAGUGCAAAACCAAGCAUUCAAGAGGUAAUUCACCAAACAAGUGUCGUCAUCAUGCAAAGCAUAUGGUGUGACAAGGGAUUGUGACAUGGCAUGUAAGCAUAUCAAUCGAGCACAAGCAAAGAUAUCAUGGGGACAAGCAUGUAAAUGUGAGGUAGUGAUGCAAAUAUGUGUGUCAAGAUAAUAAGCAUCUACCUCAAGUUCAUAGCAAGCAUGGGCAAAGCGCUCAAUGAAAGGUCUAUGGUAGGCAUAGGAAUCAUUCACAACACCAAAUAAAAUGAAGUGUCUAAACACAUGGGUCAAGUGCAAGACAAUCCAAGCAUAGCGUGCAUAAGGUGUAGUGAAUUGUAACGCCCACGAUGCGGCUAUAUCUCCCACGUGUCGAGGCACGACUUAGAGGCAUAACCGCAUUGUGGUAUUGUCACAAGAAGGGUCAUCUUCACACAAUCCCAUGUAAUGAACAAGAAUGGGAUAACGAGAGUUGGCUUACAAUCGCCACUUCACACAAUACAUAAAUUAAUUCAUACAACAUCCAAAAUCCACACAUAGACCGACUACGGUCAAAUCCAAAUGGAAAUAAGAUAACCCCAAAUGCUAGAUCCCCGAUCGUCCCAACUGGGCUCCACUACUGAUCAUCAGGAAAAGAAACAUAGUAACGACCACGUUCCUCGUCGAACUCCCACUUGAGCUCGGUUGCGUCAUCUGCACUGGCAUCGUCGGCACCUGCAACUGUUUUGGUAGAAUAUGUGUGUCACGAGGACUCAGCAAUCUCACACCCGCGAGAUCAAGACUAUUUAAGCUUAUAGGAAAGGGGUGGUGUAAUGAGGUGGAGCUGCAGCAGGCACUAAGCAUAUAUGGCGGCUAACAUACGCAAAUGAGAGCGAGAAGAGAAGCAACGCAACGGCCGCGAAGCUAGAAAUAAUCAAGAAGUAAUCCUGAAACUACUUACGUUCAUGCAUAACUCAAGCCGUGUUCACUUCCCGGACUCCGCCGAGAAGAGACCAUCACGGCUACCCACACGAUUGAUGUAUUUUAAAUUGGGUCAAGUGACAAGUUCUCUACAACCGGACAUUAACAAAUUCCCAUCUGCCUCAUAACCGCGGGCAUGGCUUUCGAAAGAUAAUACCCUGCAGGGGUGUCCCAACUUAGCCCAUCAUAAGCUCUCACGGUCAACGAAGGAUAAACCUUCUCCCGGGAAGACCCGAUCAGUCUUGGAAUCCCGGUUUACAAGACAUUUCGACAAUGGUAAAACAAGACCAACAAAGCCGCCCGAUGCGCCGACAACAUCUGCCUCAUAAGCUUUCCGAAGGUGUGUGAAGCCACCAUGUCGAGGCGUAGUCGUGGAAGUUUCUUGUGGCGCACUUCACUUGAUCUUCGGGAGGAACUUGAUGUAGCUUGAGUAGUCGUCCAUUAGGCGCUCCCACUCGAGAUACUCCUCGGGUUCUUGAGUCCCAUAGAAAGGAAUCGUGUGGUCGAUGUCGAGGUCGUAGUAGCUCGUGGAAGUCGCGGACUUGAGCUUGGGGAGCUUCUCUUGAGCGUAGUCUUGGGGUGCUUGUUGGCGAAGAUGCCGUAUGUACGUAGGCGAAGAUGCCUUGAAGUCGCUUGGCGAAGAUGCCAAGGGCAAUGGUGAAGUCGUUGAGCGGUUGUUGGUGUUGAGCUCGUGACCUUCACGUUCUUGUUGGUGUUGGUGUCGAUGUGACCUUGCCGGAGAUGGUAGCUCGGAAGCAUGUGCUCUUGAGCGUCUUCUCGAAGAUGAGGAAGAUAGCUUGUAGGACUUGAUGAGGGCUUUGAUCUCCUCUAUUUGAGCAUGCAUCUUGGCGUCGGUGGAGUUUUUCGUGGCAUCAAACUCGUCAUUGUUGUUGUAGACCGAAGGUGAAAUGCCUUGCCUAUCCAUCACAAUACUCGAGUAGAGGUGAGUAGGAAAUGAGAUAAACAAUACCAAGUUACCUUUUCCCAAAGUUGAGGAUGUAUCCCAUUUCACUCAAUGUGAGAUGAAAGAAUAGUGGAAUUGGUACCAGACUUGUUCACUCACACCUAUCAAACUAAAGCUUAUGGAGUAGCUCGGUGAGGAUAGUGGCACAAAAAUUUAAUGCAAAAUGUUAGCAAGAGCCAAUAAUGUUGAAAGAGAUUCACAAAUUCGCAAGUGAAACAAGUAGACCAAUAGCAAUAUGUGGCACACGGAAACACACACACAGAUAGAUAAAUGGGGUCGUGCAACCAAGGAAUGAGCACAAAAUGUGGAAUCCACGGAAAACGCUCGUGUUGCACAACUCAAGAGAGACGCUAGCACGAUUUCUCAAUAGGCGGAUACGACACUUGUGCACAACCUAUAAGAUGCAAAAUGGAUAAACUUUUCUAUCCCAAGUAUGCUAUGUAUGUAUGGUUCCCGGUGUUUGAUCCAAGAUGAUCGGAUAUGACAAUCUUAUGCAAUGUGGUAAGAUGCUAUGGCUAUUGCUUACAAGCUUCUUUGCUCUUUCCCUUUUGCUUAAAAGCUUUUUCUUUUUUUAUAUGGCCACAAUGCGAAAUGCACAAACCAAGAUAGCUAUCGUAUAUAUGCGGGAACAAACUUGUGACACAAUGGAUGAUAUGAUACCAAGAUGAUAUGGUAUGUAUGUAAUGGAAGGUGUAUCGAUGAUCACUAAUGUGCACAUGUAACGUUGCCGAUAAUACUCAAAUGGCUAGUCUCGAUAGGCAAGUGACGCAAAAUGGGCUAGGGGUUAUCAACGCAAUUGCAAGGGGAAUGUACAAUGAUGUCGUCGAGGUUACCGUCCUUGGCGAUGAUGAGUGGCGGUGUUCUUGAUGUAGAUACCAAGAUGCUGGAGACUCGUCCCUAAGUAGCUGAAACAUCUUAGGAAACGGAAAAACCGCGAAGUCAAAAUCUCAAAUGACAAAUGGUGGUAGUGGAAAGCGAUGGUGGUUUGCACUCGGCAAUGCGGAAGCUCAAUGGGAUUGCGGAAAUGCAAUGGUGGUUUUGGAGUACGCAAUGCGGAAGUGGGGUGUAAGGUGGUGAACUAUACACGGUGUCGGAGUUGGAAGCACGGUCCCUAAGUAGCCUAAACACCUUAGGAGACACAACUCACAACACAAACAAAAUUGGGUUAAGUUGGGGUGGAAGUGUAUGGUUGGUAAGCCUAUGCGGAAGUGGCGGUGGUGGUUGAUGACGAAGCAACCGUCCCUAAGUAGCCAAAACACCUUAGGAGACUCGAAUCACAACUCAAACAACCAUGGGGAACAAAAUUGGUUAGGUUGCGGAAGUCGGUGGUGGUGUAGCGGAUGAUGUGGUGGAAGCCCUAGGCAAGGAUGCCAAAUUUUGGAAAAUUUGAUGGAGUCAAAUGAUGUUGGUGGUACUUUUGUGGGAAGGAUGAUGUCAAGAGCUUCAAAACGAGCUAAAGAACGUCAAAAAUGGAGUUCAGAUGAAUUAGUUACGGAUAAAACAAAAAUCAGCCGAAAUCAAUAUCUACAGGUUACGGACGUCUGUAAAAGGACGGAUGUCCGGUCGUCGGACGUCCGGGAGGGCUCAGAAAUCCGUAAUUUCCAUUUUGUUGGUAGGUUUCGGUCGUCCGGAAAGUUGCGGACGUCCAGGGGUCGGGGGUCAACGCGGGAUUUGAGCUCCGGGACGUGAUUUUGGGCGGAAUUUUGGGAUUUUGGGGUCAAAAUUGAGGAGAUUUCGUGGAUGGAAAGUGGGGAAACUUGGGGAAAUGCUAGAUCCACUCGAAACUAAGCAAAUCUAUGGAUCAAAUCCAACAAAAUUUCAUCAUACCAACAAAUCACAAAAAAAAUUGGGGCUAUUUUUGGUGGGGAAUUUUUGAAUUUGGGGAAGAACACAACAAAAUCAAGCUAGAAAACACAACGGGGAGGCUCCGAAAUCGUGAUCAACGUGGCUCAUGAUACCAAGAUGAUGUGGAGUGGAACUACGUACGGCCGAUCUUUCACGAAAGGAGCGGAUCCCGACUAAGGACACGAUGAACACGGGGAAGAACGGAGAGAAAACACAAGGGGAAACACUCAAGAACAAGUCCAAUCACACAUCCACUAGACAAUCAAACACACAAGAUCCACAAGGUACAUGAACAACAAAGGGAAAGAUACAAGGUAAGGUUCAUCUCCAUGAGGAUGUCUUGAAAGGGGCCGCCCAAGAGGGGGUCUUGAUGAUAUAUCCCGCAGGAUCUUCUCCUAGAUGGAGGUCUUGGCCUCCAUAAGGAGUAGUAGUCUCUCUCUCUCUCUCUCUCUCUCAAGAGUAGAGUGGUACAAGGAGCAAAGCUCUCUAUCAAAUGAGCUAUCACUUUGCUAACCCUAGAAAGGAGGGGGGAAAGGUCUAUUUAUAGUCUAAGCCACGAAGGGGUAAGUGGGAGAGAGAUACAAGGCCAAAAACCCGGCUGCGCACAGGCAGGUCGGACGCCCGGUCAGCGUCGGACGUCCGGUCGCUCGCGGGGGCCCGGUCGUCCGGAGGGCGUCGGACUUCCGCUAAUAUCGUUUUGUCGUCGUGGCACCGGUCGUCCGGUCGGUGUCGGUCGUCCGUGCGCUGGGACUUGUCGGACGUCCGGCGUCCGUCGAUCGUCCGGCCGCUGUAGCUUUCGUCGGUUGGACUUCUGGGCUGGCUGGAGCUCCAGGCGUCGGACGUCCGGCGUCGUCCGGUCAUCCGGUGGCUGUAGAUCGUCGGACGUCCGGUGGCUCGUCGGUCGUCCGGCCACUGGGGACUCCGCAGCUCCGUCUUCUUCCGUCUUCGCUUCCAUGCUUCCCUCACGGAUGUCGUAGUUGUUCCUUGGCGCUUGCACUCCUCCUCGUCGUCCGUGAAGCUCCGGCGAUACCUAUGCAUGCACACGGGUGGAGUGUCAAGUAGUAUACCAUCCUCGAAGGGGUCAAGUGAACACGUGAAGGAGAAGAUUCACCUUUAUGUAUGAGAAGUAGCGGCCGCACGUGUCACUUACCAAACGGACUCUUGACAUGGUGAUGUCCAUAGGAUGCUCCGCAUCAUUACCUCACUAUCUUCUUCGGAUUCAGACUCAGGUUUCUUCAUUGGUGCUUUGGGAGUCUUUGAAGAUUUUCCUCCUUCUAUCAAUCUCAUUCAUUCAGAUCUUGGUGGAUACUGAGGCAAUUCUCCUUCAGAACCUGAAUGCUCUUCCGAACUCUGUGCCAUGACCAACCUGUGAAAAGAAUAGAUGCGAGGGAAAAAUGGGGUAGGGCCAUAAACAUGCACAUAAGGUGUUUUGAACGAAAAACAAUGUUUCUUGGAGGAACAUAGGAAUUUAUGGUAGUCUUAGAGAAGAUAUCCUCGAUAGAUUUUAAACAAGCCAUAGCAUGUACAAGGCUGAUAAAAGACUAUCUAAUCUUUCGGAUAAGCAUACAUGAACCCUAGAUGGAGGAAAACAAGUAUGAGGAAGAUCUACAAACCGUAUCGGUCAAAUCGUAGUGAUUGCUAAAGAUCUACCGCAGAGAAAUAAAUCAAAGAAAAUAGCCUCAGUAUGAACUGCCCUAAGGAUAGAGAUGAGGACAAGGGCAGUUCAAGAUCCAAGUGCCGUAACUUGGCAACUUGGAUCAGCUACGACGAUGAGGGAGGAAAGAUUACCGCACCGGUGUGAUCAACCACGACGUAGAUCCAUCGGAGUUGCAUGGCGAGGCUCCUCGCCGGAGUUGCUUCGAGCAAGGGCUCGGGUGGAGGUGGACGCGGGUUUGAGGAAUGGGAGGAAGAAGAUGCGGCGAGGGGUAUUUAUAGCUGGCAAGCUGAACCACCUCUCCGAAAUCUACGGCUCACAGUUGCAGGACGUUCUGCAUUCAACGGACACAAUCACGAUCGUGGGGAUCGUGGGUACGUGGCAACCAUUUCAUGCGAAAAACUCGGGAUGAGAGUGGGAGACCGAACGGUUCGAAGAAGGGCAAGCGCCAAAAGAGGAUAAAAGUUCGAAGUCGAUUUCUUUCGUGACCAAGGACGUCGGAUAGAAAUUUUCUUCAGGUCAAAUUGCAUGGUUAUGAUGGACUACAAAUAUUUGGAUGAGAAAGAAUAGAGAGAUAAAAGGUUCCGAAACAAAACACUCAGCCAGAAGAGGGAAACACAAACACACGGAGCUAUGAGUGAGUUGUUCAUCGGACGAAACACAAACACAACGAAACGAAGACAAACACAUGAAAGAGAGCAAAUAAACACGAGCAACAACAAUAGUUCUCAGGGCUAAGAAUAAGCGAGUGGAAUCCCUGAGAGAAAUCCUUCAAGAGGGGUUAGUUCUUUUUCGCAAUCUACAAUUACGUGGGCAGCGAGAAUCUCAUUCGCUUUAUCCGAGCAGAUACAUUUCUCCGAUGAUUUCUGUAGUUCGCCUAUGCAUUUCGAGAGUAAUCAUAUGAAUGUGCAUUGAAAUUGUUUCCAGAGAUAUGAGCAUAAUGAUUUGAAGAGGUACGCAUGUACUUCUUAUGUCGAAGGUUUGACCGAUACCCAUUUGAGGAAGUUCCAACGCCAAUCUACGAAUGAUAAUCAUUUCCUCGAGGAGAAUUACUCUGCAUAUUCACGUUAGCAGUGACAGAUAAAUUUUCAAUGAUGCACUUCUUCACCCAGAUUUGCUUCUUGGGUGAACCAGACCUGUAGUUAGUCCCAACAUACUAAGAAAAAACCUUACCAUUCUGUUGUUUGAAGAAUUUGUAGUUUGAGUCAUCAGACUCAUCCAAAACAACAGAAAUGGGAGUACUAUAUAUCCAGACAGAAUUGCAGGUUCGAGAGUUUUUACUUUAGCAAGAACCCAACUCGUUCGAGGAUAUUGCUCGGGAGUCCAGUAGGUUCCAUCAACAUUGAGUUUUUUUGAAACCUAAUCCUUCCUUUUGGUUUUUUUGUGCAGUAUUGACUUCUUGAGCACAUCACAAAGAGUUUGAUGCCCUUUGAGGCUCUUUAGCAUUCAUGUCUCAAGCAAGUUCUUUAACCUGCAAUUUUCAUCAAUGAUAGCAACAAAUUCCUCGGAAGAGGGGUUAGACUUACCAUUCAUAGUUGUUGCAAUGUUCUUGCUGACAACAUUAGAUGUUUCAACAGUUGAAUCAUCAUUGCAACAUUCUAGGCAUUUAGAGCAAGGAGGCACAAAAUC
rnacentral:lncRNA from 1 species